UACAGAGGCCACGAGCGUUAGGCGGAAUCACCUGGGCUUAAAGCGUGUGUAGGUGGAUCGGUAAGUACCUUGUAAAAAUCCCACGGCUCAACCGUGGAACUGCUUGGUAUACUGCCAGUCUUGAGGCACUCAGGGGCGAGCGGAACAGAUGGUGGAGCGGUGAAAUGCGUAGAUAUCGUUUGGAACGCCAAAGGUGAAAACAGACAGCUGGGAGUGUGCUGACGCUGAGACACGAAAGCCAGGGGAGCGAACGGG
rnacentral:rRNA from 1 species